CCAACCUCUACUGCUGCUACCCAGCUCCACACUGCCUGGAGCCAGGAUUUUGUGGAAAAUCAGAUGAGGUCCUGCAAGGGCAGAGGCUGACACACGCAGCUUUGGUCUCAACCUGACCCUCUCUUGAUGCUGAAGCAUCUUGCUCUGGGACAGGGUUCUUUUGAAACAAUCUUAAAAGGUAUGGACCACAUUCUCCCUUUAGGGAGACGACUUGCCUUGAUGGAACAGCUUCUCCUUUGUUCUAGAAUGUUGUUUCUCACAGGCUGAUCUUGUGAGUAGACUUGGACGUGUCUGCUGGUCUCAAACUCAGUGGUGGGUCUGUUGCUGAGCUUUUUUAUGUGUAGUCUGAGAUGAAAGGACAUCUUUCCACUAUCAAUGUCAACUUUAUAUAUUUUUUGAAGGUUUAUUUGUUCUUCUGAAAGGCA